AUUCCAGCUCCAAUAGCGUAUAUUAAUGUUGUUGCAGUUAAAAAGCUCGUAGUUGGAUUCCUGGCCUGGGGUAGCCGGUCCGCCUUGCAAAAGGUGCGCACUGAGCGGCCUCGGCCAUCCUUGGGAAGAGCAGUCCUGGCAUUCAGUUGUCGGGGUUGGGAUUCCCGACGUUUACUGUGAAAAAAUCAGAGUGUUCAACGCAGGCUUACGCCUUGAAUACAUUAGCAUGGAAUAAUGAGAUAGGACCUUGGCGGUCUAUUUUGUUGGUUUGCACGCCGAGGUAAUGAUUAAAAGGGACGGUUGGGGUUCUUCGUAUUCAAUUGUCAGAGGUGAAAUUCUUGGAUUUAUGGAGGACGAACUGCUGCGAAAGCGUCGAGCAAGGACGUUCUCAUUG
rnacentral:rRNA from 1 species